GGUUUAAACCAACAAAACAUUGCUUAUAAGCAGUAAGCAGUUUUGUUAGUGGUUUUAUGGUCAAAAUGUGUCACAAUCCAAUAUAUUUGACUAAUUAUAAGAGUUAAAGAUGGAUUAGAAGUGUGUAGAACACACUUAUANNNNUUUAGCAU
rnacentral:sRNA from 1 species